rfam:Pteropus alecto contig107041, whole genome shotgun sequence.
GGUUCCAUAGUGUAGAGGUCAGCACGUCUGCUUUACAUGCAGAAGGCCCUGGGUUCAUGCCUCAGUGGAGCCA